GGGGAGUGUUCCUUCUCCUCCAACCACCCUCGCGCUCACACGUUUCUACCCGCACAGUUUCCAUGGCGCCGGCUUCCUACUUUUCCUCCGUCCCCAGCCUGUUCUGUCAUGUGGGAUUUACUAGAAGAGCAGGGGUGGUGUUCUAAAAGAAGUUAAAAUCCUAGAGGGAAGAAGGCCGGGAAGUCUAUACUACUUGUUACUGCCAUUACAAAGAAGCUCUGGGUGUCGUAAAAAUAAGACUUUAAAGUCCAAGGUUGAAACAUCAGCCAAGCCAAAUGUCAUAGAAAUAUGUCUUAGAGCAGCUGAAUUCUCAGUAUGCUGUUCGUAUCCUGUCUAUGUUUGAUCUGUUGAAGUGAGUAUAAAUGAAAAUCUAAACCUGGUCUUCAGUGUAUUUGCUGCCUAGUUUCAGUCACUUACUAUCAAGUGGUUCCUUCCGUGCACUAGGGCCUGAGGAAAACUCAUAGCCAUUCUAGACAUCUUAAGGAUCAAAACUAAUUUUUAUUCCAAAGAAAAAGCAUUUGUAGACCCUGUUGCAAGGCAUUCUCUUCAAACUACAUAUGAAAAAAAAAAACUGGGAGAAGAGAAUUAAAUUAUCUUAGAGAAGCCCAAGUUGCAGAAUGAAAUUAAACCCAAUUUCUUUAUAUAAAUUACAUGGGUAAAGUACAUUUAACCCUAAGAAGGGAAUAAUGGAGAGAGGAAGUGUGUUGAGGAAAAGAGACAACAGGAGUGAAAAACAGAAGUUACCAAUAGUGUACAGUAAUUGCCAAUUUAACUCAACAUGGAGUCACGGACACUGGCGUUGAUUCGUCUGCGUGUACACGUGUGCACUUCUGUUAAUGGGAAGGGGGCGCUCACCACUAACCUCUUUAUUGCCUUCAGGAUGAAUUGAGAGGUAGAAAGCUUCUGACAACAGGAUGUCUGCCUAUUUGAUCUGCUUUCCAUCAGUCUAGGAACUGAUGCUUCGUUUCGAGGGUUUCUCCAUUUCUCCGUGUAACAGCCCUUGGCUGUCCUGGACUAUGACUCUCAGAGAUCUGACUACCUCUGCCUCCUGGGUGCUGGGAUCAAAGGCAUGCACCCCCACGCUCUGCCUCUAAGACGUUUUCGAUGGUUCCAUUAUCAGCAUCAAUCUAUACAGAGAUCAUGUCUUACACGAUUAUUUCUUCACAGGAUGGCUGGCCUCAUCCAUUUAAGAUGGAUUCUUGUUAGUUUCCAUUCAUCCAAUUUUAUUAUUAUUAUCAUUAUCAUUAUUAUUAUUGCCUCCUGUACUGGUUAGUUUUUGUUAACUAAUGGUGCUCCUGCUGUAUGUGUUUGUUUCCUCACCCUCAAUAAAGGCUGCUGAUCCUGUCUGC